rnacentral:rRNA from 1 species
CCGUAGGUGACCUGCGGAAGGAUCAUUACCGAGUGCGGGGUCCUUUGGGCCCAACCUCCCAUCCGUGUCUAUUAUACCCUGUUGCUUCGGCGGGCCCGCCGCUUGUCGGCCGCCGGGGGGGCGCCUUUGCCCCCCGGGCCCGUGCCCGCCGGAGACCCCAACACGAACACUGUCUGAAAGCGUGCAGUCUGAGUUGAUUGAAUGCAAUCAGUUAAAACUUUCAACAAUGGAUCUCUUGGUUCCGGCAUCGAUGAAGAACGCAGCGAAAUGCGAUAACUAAUGUGAAUUGCAGAAUUCAGUGAAUCAUCGAGUCUUUGAACGCACAUUGCGCCCCCUGGUAUUCCGGGGGGCAUGCCUGUCCGAGCGUCAUUGCUGCCCUCAAGCCCGGCUUGUGUGUUGGGUCGCCGUCCCCCUCUCCGGGGGGACGGGCCCGAAAGGCAGCGGCGGCACCGCGUCCGAUCCUCGAGCGUAUGGGGCUUUGUCACAUGCUCUGUAGGAUUGGCCGGCGCCUGCCGACGUUU